rnacentral:rRNA from 1 species
GACAGAGGGUGCAAACGUUGUUCGGAAUUACUGGGCGUAAAGGGUGCGUAGGUGGCGGGGCAAGUCUGGUGUGAAAUCCCGGGGCUCAACCCUGGAACUGCACUGGAUACUGCCUUGCUAGAGUACUGGAGAGGGAACUGGAAUUUACGGUGUAGCAGUGAAAUGCGUAGAUAUCGUAAGGAAGACCAGUGGCGAAGGCGAGUUCCUGGACAGUUACUGACACUGAGGCACGAAGGCCAGGGGAGCAAACGGG